rnacentral:rRNA from 1 species
UACGGGGGGGGGCAAGCGUUGUUCGGAAUUACUGGGCGUAAAGGGCUCGUAGGUGGCCAACUAAGUCAUACGUGAAAUCCCUCGGCUUAACCGGGGAACUGCGUCUGAUACUGGAUGGCUUGAGGUUGGGAGAGGGAUGCGGAAUUCCAGGUGUAGCGGUGAAAAUGCGUAGAUAUCGGGAGGAAUACCAGUGGCGAAGGCGGCCUUCUGGACGGAUACUGACGCUGAGGCGCGAAAGCCAGGGGAGCAAACGGG